rnacentral:rRNA from 1 species
GGGUUGUGAGGUUAAGCGACUAAGCGUACACGGUGGAUGCCCUGGCAGUCAGAGGCGAUGAAGGACGUGCUAAUCUGCGAUAAGCGCCGGUAAGGUGAUAUGAACCGUUAUAACCGGCGAUUUCCGAAUGGGGAAACCCAGUGUGAUUCGUCACACUAUCAUUAACUGAAUCCAUAGGUUAAUGAGGCGAACCGGGGGAACUGAAACAUCUAAGU